rnacentral:rRNA from 1 species
ACUCCUACGGGAGGCAGCAGUGGGGAAUAUUGCACAAUGGGGGAAAGCCCUCGAUGCAGCCAUGCCGCGUGUGUGAAGAAGGCCUUCGGGUUGUAAAGCACUUUCAGCGAGGAGGAAAGGUUAGUAGUUAAUACCUGCUAGCUGUGACGUUACUCGCAGAAGAAGCACCGGCUAACUCCGUGCCAGCAGCCGCGGUAAUACGGAGGGUGCGAGCGUUAAUCGGAAUUACUGGGCGUAAAGCGUGCGCAGGCGGUUUGUUAAGCGAGAUGUGAAAGCCCGC